rnacentral:lncRNA from 1 species
AUAGAGACAGCAUAUGCUUACAUCUGUACAAUAAAUCUUACCUUUGUUUUAUGGUGCUUUUCCUGGCAAUCUCCUCUUAACUGAGCCUUUCCUCACCAACUUUUUUGUUUCACAGGAAGUGAUAUUUUAAAGUUUGAUGAUGGUAAGGCAUUAUGUCUCAUGAAACACACACACACAAAAAAAAACAAAUCUUACUUUUGUCAGUUUUCAUAAUA